rnacentral:rRNA from 1 species
GGGGAAUUUUGGACAAUGGGCGCAAGCCUGAUCCAGCCAUUCCGCGUGCAGGACGAAGGCCUUCGGGUUGUAAACUGCUUUUGUACGGAACGAAAAGGCUCUGGCUAAUACCUGGGGCUCAUGACGGUACCGUAAGAAUAAGCACCGGCUAACUACGUGCCAGCAGCCGCGGUAAUACGUAGGGUGCAAGCGUUAAUCGGAAUUACUGGGCGUAAAGCGUGCGCAGGCGGUUAUGUAAGACAGAGGUGAAAUCCCCGGGCUCAACCUGGGAACUGCCUUUGUGACUGCAUAGCUGGAGUACGGCAGAGGGGGAUGGAAUUCCGCGUGUAGCAGUGAAAUGCGUAGAUAUGCGGAGGAACACCGAUGGCGAAGGCAAUCCCCUGGGCCUGUACUGACGCUCAUGCACGAAAGCGUGGGGAGCAAACA